rnacentral:lncRNA from 1 species
CCCAUGUGGAAAUCCUUUUUUGUGGCCUCAAACAGGUGUCGUCGUUUACUUGUUUUACUCACUCGCCCCGUAAAAGUACUCAACAAAACCGAAAAAAGUCGCCCAUUGCCAUCUAAUUCAACAUUUGGCCAAAAUGGUAAUGUGCGCGCCUCCAUGCCGACAUUAUUAUUAAUGAAUGAGCACCAGGUGUAGAAGGGAACAAAAACACAAUGGAGAGCGCGCAAUAUUAUAUACAAAGUUCGUAGUUCGAUUUUCGAUAAAAGAAAAGCGUUUGUGUUUGUGCGCUUAUCGCAUAAUUCUAGGAGCGGUGGAGGUAAAGAACUUCCAUAUUAAUGGUUCAUUAUGGUGACCCGCUGUAAUACAGGCCACGGAUCUGUAUGGGGUCUCAGCUCUGGUCAUGUGUGCUGCAACUUCAGUUUCAGUGGCAGCUCCAGCUCCAGUUUUCGGGUGCUUUGUUUUCAGCCGCUCUACCUAUGGCUCUGGCUCUGGCUCUGGCUCUG